rnacentral:rRNA from 1 species
AUUGAACGCUGGCGGCAUGCUUUACACAUGCAAGUCGAACGGUAACAGGCCGCAAGGUGCUGACGAGUGGCGAACGGGUGAGUAAUGCAUCGGAACGUGCCCAGUCGUGGGGGAUAACUACUCGAAAGAGUAGCUAAUACCGCAUACGAUCUAUGGAUGAAAGCGGGGGACCGUAAGGCCUCGCGCGAUUGGAGCGGCCGAUGUCAGAUUAGGUAGUUGGUGGGUAAAGGCUCACCAAGCCAACGAUCUGUAGCUGGUCUGAGAGGACAACCAGCCACACUGGGACUGAGACACGGCCCAGACUCCUACGGGAGGCAGCAGUGGGGAAUUUUGGACAAUGGGCGCAAGCCUGAUCCAGCAAUGCCGCGUGCAGGAAGAAGGCCUUCGGGUUGUAAACUGCUUUUGUACGGAACGAAACGGCUCUGGUUAAUACCCGGGGCUAAUGACGGUACCGUAAGAAUAAGCACCGGCUAACUACGUG